CCUACGGGUGGCAGCAGUGAGGAAUAUUGGUCAAUGGCCGAAAGGCUGAACCAGCCAAGUCGCGUGAGGGAUGACGGCCCUAUGGGUUGUAAACCUCUUUUAUCGGGGAGUAAAGCGAACCACGUGUGGUUCAUUGAGAGUACCUUAAGAAUAAGGAUCGGCUAACUCCGUGCCAGCAGCCGCGGUAAUACGGAGGAUCCGAGCGUUAUCCGGAUUUAUUGGGUUUAAGGGGUGCGUAGGCGGAUGUGAAAGUGAGCGGUAAAAUUGCGGGGCCCAACCCAGGAAUGCCGUUGAAACUGGGGGCCUUGAGUGUGCUAGAGGUAGGCGGAAUGCGUGGUGUAGCGGUGAAAUGCAUAGAUAUCACGCAGAACCCCGAUUGCGAAGGCAGCCUACC
rnacentral:rRNA from 1 species